UAAAAAGCUCGUAGUUGAAUUUCGGGGUUCUACCGUUGGUCGGGCAAUAGUCUGUACUGGCGUGUAGAAUUUCUACCUUCUGGGGAACNAUCAUGUUAUUUAUUUAGCGUGGUNGGAAACCAGGACCUUUACCUUGAAAAAAUUAGAGUGUUCAAAGCAGGCUUACGUCUGAAUACAUUAGCAUGGAAUAAUAAAAUAGGACGGNGGUCCUGUUUUGUUGGUUUCUGAAUCACCGUAAUGAUUAAUAGGGAUAGUUGGGGGCAUUANUAUUCAAUUGNCAGANGUGAAAUUCUUGGAUUUAUUGAANACUAACUUCUGCGAAAGCAUUUGCCAAGGAUGUUUUCAUUAAUCAAGAACGAAAGUUAGGGGAUCGAAGACGAUCANAUACCGUCGUAGUCUUAACCAUAAACUAUGCCNACUAGGGAUCGGACGAUGUUAAUUUUUCUUGACUCGUUCGGCGCCUUACGGGAAACAACC
rnacentral:rRNA from 1 species